rnacentral:tRNA from 1 species
AUGUAGUUUAACUAAAGCAUCUCGCUUACACCGAGAAUAUGUUUGUGAGACCCUGAUCGUUUUGAG